rnacentral:lncRNA from 1 species
CAAUAUACAAUAUAAAUUUAUAAUAAAAAUUUAUAUAAUAUAAGUUUAUAAUAUAAAUAUAAAAUAUAACAAAAAUUUAAACGAACCGAACCAUUCUUGAACCUCAACCAAAGUUUGGGUUCGAUUCGUUUAGUUAAACGAAUCUAUUUUAAGGUUCGGGUUCGAUUCGUUUAAUAAUCGAACCGAACCUGAACUGAACCCGAAACGAAUAGAAUAGUUCGUCGAAUACCGAACUUUUAUUGCAACUCUACUCUCGUUAGAUCUACACCAAUAUGAUGUUUUAAUUGCUCAUAAAUUUACUUCAUGUGGCGUGAAUCGUGCUUUCGACAUGAACCAAGCAAGAAAUGAUUCCAACAAAACUUCUGCCAGUUCGUUGACCGAAUUAGUUCAAAAAAUGCAGCAGAUUCUGAUCCAAUCGGAUGUUCCCACUCCUGCUAAGCAAUCUAAUUUUGAAGGAAGAUUACCGACUUUUGAAUGGAGGAAGAGAUUAUGUACCGCAAACCCCUUCAUAAGUCGGUAACCUUCUUCCAAAAUUAGAUUGCUUAUAUAAUUGACCAAUUGUCCCAUUACAACCCUAAAUUACUUCAAGAGUAAUCGAAACAUCUAUUGGUAAAGAUCUUUCUUAGUACGUUCUAUCACGAAAUAAUUAACCUUUACCAUACAUUUCAUACCGGUGUCGCCUUUGCCAUAAGAGAGGACGAUGCAUUUUGUUUAACAGGAGUGGGAACUUCCGAUUGGAUCAAAAUCUGUUGCAUUUUUGAACUAAUUCUGUCAACGAACUGUCAGAAGUUUUGUUGGAAAUAUUUCUUUCUUGGUUCACGUCGAAAGCAAAGGCAGAAUGGAUGGUAACUUGUAUUUCCUCGGUGUCCACUUGAAACUAUAACUCUAUCCCUAUUCCGCACCUGGUGACGUUGAGGAGUCAUACCUACUUAAACUUCUUUCACUAAUAAAAUUAAACGAAGACCUUGAACUUGAUACUUCUGCAUUCCCAAUCUGGAUAUUUUAUUUACUUGGCAUUCUGGUUUUCCAUUUGAAUCGGUAGUCUUUGGAUGAUUUCUCACAUUUUCAAGAUCAUUAUGUGAAUUAUUCGUUUCUGGCAUAUUUUGGUUUCUGGCACCUUGAAUCAUUCACAUUCCUCAUCUUAAAUAUCCAUCCAUCCUUCAACGUUUGAAGUUUUGGAUUCAGCUUUUGGAAUUAACAUUUUCUAGAUUUUUAGUAUAAAUAAUUAAUGGUUAACAUAUGCUGCAAGAUAUUUUUAUUUUAGAAAAUAGAAAUAACCACAAAUUUAUCUGGGAAGGUUGCUAUAAUUUUGAGGUUAAAUAUGGCAAAGCAUAUCAUCCCUUCAUUUUAUUGUAAAUUUUUCUCAAUUGUGUAUUUUAUAGAUUUGAUUGAAAACGAGUUUGGGUGGCCCUGGACUUCGUAAAACUUGAAUAAACUUAAGUCAAUGAUCAAAUCAAGAAAUUGAAUAUAAGGGGGUUAAAAAUAAACUUAUGUAUUUAAUAUAUUAUAUAAGGUCAUUUAUAUAAAUUAUAUUAUAUAAAAUAUUAUAUAAGGUAUAAAUAUAAUUUACCCCGAAUACAGGACGAAAAUGGCAGGGCAUUUUUCUACUUCAGGUACGAGGCGAGUACAGGUACAUCUUACUCCUAUGAAAGACGGAUAUAAUUCAGCUAAUUAAUGGGUUGUUCAGAAAUAAAAGAUUAUACGGCCGUAUAGGUGAUAUGGUGUUGGUAGUAAUUUGACAGAUGUCAUCGAGAUUCAAGUAAACGUUAUACGUGGGUGACAUUUUCCAAACCAUAGAAAAAACAAAGAGAGGGGUGGAUUGACUCGACGCAUUUCAGAAAUUAAUUCAUAAAAAAAAAUACAAUGCAUUAUUAAAAAUAAAAAAGUUUACAUUUAACUCGUUUUUCAACAAAAACACUCUUCUUACUAUCAUUUAAAUUCUUAUUCUUUUGAAGUCGAACAACUUGUUUUGAAACAUCUAAGGAGGAUACACCAACUUUCGGCAAACCAAACAAAAAAAAUUUGGAUAAAAUUGUACAAGGAAAUGGAGAACAACAUUACAAAUGGUGAAGAAUUUAGACUGAAACCUAUUCCAUUUUGAUCAUUACAGUGGUGAAUAUUGAAAUAUAUAUUAUAGGAUUAAUUAUAUAUUUUUACUUUCAUUUAAAGUUGUAACAAAUAACAAAACCCCACUCAAAUAUAUGUGGUUUGUUAUCAUAAUUUGUGUAUAAAUACAACCAUAGUCUAGAGGCAAAAUCAAGGAUUGAUUUGCCCAAACUCCAUCUCUAUUUCAUCUUCAUACGAUUGCUAAUCUUUUUCCAUCUCAAUGGCGUUCUUCGGUUCCUCAUCUCUCUCCAUCGAUGGCAAUCACCAAUUCAACAGUGAACGGUGGAGAAUUAAUGUCACAAAUGGUGUAAUUUUAAAUAAAAAUGGAGGGUCAUGAUGCUUUUUAACGCUUUUGAGAAAUAAAGGAUGACCUUGUAUUAAUUAAUAUUUAACUUAAGGGUUAAAUAUAAAUACACCAUUUAUAUUUUAUAGUAUAUUUAAUUAAUUAUUGAUAUUUUAAAGUAAAUAAAAAAAAAAUCAUUAAAAUUAAUACGAUGAAACAUCAUUUCCCGCAACCCAGACUCGGUCCAUUUACAGUCCUAAAUACGAUGAAACAUCAUUAAAAUUAAUACAGCGUUACAUAGGGAUAGAAAUGAUAAUAUUACAACAUCAUUGCAUAAUUAUUCCAAUAUAAAUAUAAAUAUAAAAUUGCUCAAAAUGAAUAAAAGAAUACAAAAUUAUUCUAAAUCCUAGUUACCUUGGCUGAUCAUCAGUUCCCGCAACCCUCCUUCUCCUGCUGUUUCACGUCAUCAACAACUUCAUUUCCCCCAUUAGACGUCGCAGCUAGCUCCGGCUUGAUCUCUGACACGGUCGGAGGCUCGUGUCGAAGUCGGGAACGAUCGGAAUGUUAAGAGAGAGUCGGAAUUGAAAACGAGAAUGGUUAUAUCAUAAAAUCGUAUUUGUAUAUCUAUAAUUCUUAGUAUUUAUAGGAUCAGUCUUUGCGUUUAUAGGAUUGAUCCCCGCGUAAAAUCCACAUCGAGGUAACUAUUGUGCAUGCAUACCCAUGCAACUGUAAAUAAUAUCUAUCUAAUAUAUAAUACUAUCUCCAGUUAAUCGGAGUUAACUACUUAAUAAUGUUCUUUAUCAUCUUCCUUAAUACCUCAAGGUCUAGGACGUAAUUACAGUGGUUAGUUGUCUUGGCGACUCCCGACGUAAUCCACUUGGUAGACGUCGUACUCGGCGCUGACGUUUGGGUUGAGGCAAAGGUGCGGCGUUAGACGUAUCAAUCUCCUCCAGCUGUUGAAGUAUCUGCUGCACCUCUGGUCUCGCGGGAGGAGACGGAUCGACGCAAUGCAAAGCUAAUUUCAACGUAUCUACAAGCUCAUCGCCGGUGGCGUCUCGUAUGAGGUCCAAAUCAAAUACCUCAGUACUGGUCCAUUCUUCUUUUAUGAGUAUUGUGAAGAAUAGGAUAAUCGAAUUGAUUAAACUUAUGAAAUACAAAGUCUAUUUAUUACGAGUUGUUGGUACCAUGGACCGCGGCCCAUGGUGCCAAAUGGUCUCUGACGAGCUGACUGGAGAAGCCAACUAUGUGGCAUGGGCAAUUUUAAUGAAGCUGUCACUUGUCUCAAGGAAGAAGACAACCUUCAUAAAUGGAAAAAUAAAGAAACAUGUUGAUGAAACAGGUGAAGAGUUUGAAGAUUGGGAAAUGGUCAAUGGACUGGUGUUAUCUUGGAUCAUCAAUGGAGUAAGUCCACAGAUUGCCUCAACAUUAAUUCACACUGACACAACUUAUGAAGCUAAUUAAUUGGUUUGAGCUUCAAGAAAGAUAUAAGCAAAAUAAUGCACUCAAGACCAGCCAAUUAAGGUAUGAAGUUAAUACCUUAAAUCAAGCAAAUGACUCAGUCUCAGUUUACUUUGAUAAAUUUAAAUCACUAUGGGAUCAAUACAUAGAAAUUGAAAAACCAGAGCGUAGAUUCUGUAAUAUGUGUGCUCCUAUACACACAAAGAAAAUUCAAAAAGAUAAAACUCACCAGUUCCUCUUAGGGCUAAAUGAAGAAUUUAUGACUAUUAGAAGUCAGAUUCUUGCUUAUUCUGAACUGUCAUUCAUGAAUCAAGUUUUUUCCCUAGUCAUACAAGAAGAAAAACAGAAAGUUAACCUUGGGGAAAAGAUAGGAGGUAAUGCAACUGCAUUUUAUGCAAAGAAGAAUGACAAAGAAGAAAAGAAAGAAGAGCCAAAUAAGAGGAUGUAUAGUAAGAGUGGGAAAAAAUUAGAUACAAAUUUUUACUGUGAUAAUUGCAAGUUUUUUGGUCAUCUCAGAGAGGUAGAGUUUUCCCAGAACAACCAGCCUCUGGGUUUUUUACCCUCCUUUUCUUUUUUUUUUCUUUUUUUUUUUUGAAGCAACCCUCCUUUUCUUUUUCUACACAGAAUUAUAUACUUUGGACUAUAGAACCACCAGAAUGGAUUACCAAAUCAAAGUCAAUCUUACAUAAGAAUCUAUAUACAAAUUGUCUUUGAGUGAUGGUUAGUUACUAAUUAUUAGUUAGUUGUUAAACUAAUAUGAUCGAUGUAUAAAUACUAAGUGUGGUUUUUAGUUCAUUCGAUGGUCUCAUUUAGCAUUGUUAACUGAGCCUACUGAACCGAAUAACUAACUGAAUAGUUUGUCGAAUACCGAACAUUUUUUACAUUAUUCUCAAAAUAAACAUGUCCAUCUUUGAAAAAUAAACAUUGUUUAUGAUCUAUUUUCUUUUGUUACGUCAAUCCUUAGUGAUAUUUCUUCUGGUUGAUUAAGAACAAGCAUGUCAUCUUCCUAAAGCCACGACAAAAACUAAAACCUUAGAAACUAAAAAAUUAAUAUAUAGUUAUAUUAAUGAAAAAUUAAAAAAAUAUACAUAAGUUAUUAAAUAUAUAAUAUAAAUUUAUAAUAAAAAGUUAUAUAAUAUAAGUUUAUAAUAUAAAUAUAAAUUAUAACAAAAAUUUAAACGAACCAAACCAUUCUACGAAUGUCAACCAAGGUUUGAGUUCAAUCCGUUUAAUUAAACGAAUCUAUUUUAAGGUUCGGGUUCGAUUCGUUUAAUAACCGAACCCGAACUGAACCCGAAAUGAACUGAAUGUGUGAAUCGUGCUUUCGACAUGAACCAAGCAACAAAUGUUUCCAACAAAACUUCUGCCAGUUCGUUGACCGAAUUUGUUCAAAAAAUGCAGCAGAUUCUGAUCCAAUCGGAUGUUCCCAUUCCUGCUAAGCAAUCUAAUUUUGGAGGAAGAUUACCGACUUUUGAAUGGAGGAAGAGAUUAUGUACUGCAAACCCUCUCUUCAUAAGUCGGUAACCUUCCUCCAAAAUUAGAUUGCUUGUAUAAGUUGACCAAUUGUCCCAUCACAACCCUAAAUAACUUCAAGAGUAAUCGAAACAUCAUAUUGGUAAAGAUCUUUCAUAGUAAGUUCUGCCACGAAAUGAUUAACCUUUACCAUACAUUUCGUACUGGUGUCGCCUUUGCCAUAAGAGAAGACGAUGCAUUAUAUUUAACAGGAGUGGGAACUUCCGAUUGGAUCAAAAUCUGUUGCAUUUUUGAACUAAUUCAAUCAACGAACUGUCAGAAGUUUUGUUGGAAACAUUUCUUGCUUGGUUCACGUCGAAAGCAAAGGCAGAAUGGACGGUAACUUGUAUUUCCUCGGUGUCCACUUGAAACUACAAUUCUAUCCCUAUUCCGCACCUGGUGAUGUUGAUAUCCCUAUUCCGUACUUGGUGAUGUUGAGGAGUCAUACUUACUUAAACUUCUUUCACUAAUAAAAUUAAACGAAGACCUUGAACUUGAUACUUCUGCAUUCCCAAUCUGGAUAUUUUAUUUACUUGGCAUUCUGGCUUUCCAUUUGAAUCGGUAGUCUUUGGAUGAUUUCUCACAUUUUCAAGAUCAUUAUGUGAAUUAUUCGUUUCUGGCAUAUUUUGGUUUCUGGCAUCUUUGUCAUUAGAAUCAUUUCUUUUCCUUUUCUUAAAUAUCCAUCCUUCAACGUUUGAAGUUUUGG